AUUAAUAUGGCAGAUAAGUGCAAUGAAUUUAAGCUUCAUUUAUAGGGGUGGAAGCCCCCUUUUUAAUA